rnacentral:rRNA from 1 species
AAUCAACGCUGGCGGCGUGCCUCAGACAUGCAAGUCGAACGAUUAAAGCUCUCUUCGGAGAGUGCAUAGAGUGGCGCACGGGUGAGUAACACGUAAGUAAUCUACCCUCGAGUGGGGAAUAACGUCCGGAAACGGACGCUAAUACCGCAUAAUGCAGCGGCACCGCAAGGUGACAGUUGUUAAAGAUUUAUCGCUUGAGGAGGAGCUUGCGGCAGAUUAGCUAGUUGGUAAGGUAAUGGCUUACCAAGGCUACGAUCUGUAACCGGUCUAAGAGGACGGUCGGUCACACUGACACUGAAUAACGGGUCAGACUCCUACGGGAGGCAGCAGUCGGGAAUUUGGGCAAUGGGCGAAAGCCUGACCCAGCAACGCCGCGUGAAGGAUGAAGUAUUUCGGUAUGUAAACUUCGAAAGAAUAGGAAGAAUUAAUGACGGUACUAUUUAUAAGGUCCGGCUAACUACGUGCCAGCCGCCGCGGUAACAC